rnacentral:lncRNA from 1 species
ACCUUUUCUUUAAAUACUCAUGUCACAUUUGUGCUGUUGCCAAUGCUUCUCAGACCCUCCAGAUGAGGACAUUUCCCUGAGGAGGUGGCUAUGAUGGUAGAACUUACAAGACUUCAGUGGACAUAAGGAAACAAUGCCAAGAAUACGUUAAUCUAAACCCAUGAUGUUUCUACAUCUCAAAGAACAGAGAGAAAAGGAAACUGGAGAGAGGCCAGAAGUGACCAACUCUAUUCCCUCAUUUCUGUGUUAUACUCCCUUUGUCUAAUCUUCCCUACCCUACCAGGUGGUUUAAGAAUUUUAUCCUUUCUCCAGACUAGAAGAGGAAGUGGGGGCCGGAAUUAGGUGUAUACAAAUUGUUGGAAAGCCUUUGUGUGGAUUUGGAGGGCUGAAGUAGAGUAUCAUUUUUACAAAGCAGCCCAAGCCUCUAAUCUGAGCAGGAAGAUUCACACUCAUUCUCUGGCAUGAGUCCUAUCAGGAGGAUCAAUGAAGCCAAGGCUGUAGAAAUAAAUAAUUAAUCUCUCCACCCAAGGAGGCUAGUAAACAAUAUUCAAUACGUGAAUACUGAGUUCUGCCAAGAGGAAGAAGCAUAUAAACCAGGCAACUGCUGAACGCAUUGCCAAAAAGGGAGACUUACGCAUCAUUCACUAAAGCUUUCCAAAAACUAAAUCAGAUCCAAGAACAGAUAAACUCCUGCAGAAUGACAAUGGUGGAGAAAUUGACCUCCCAGCAUUGCAGACUUACAUCAGUUGUUCUGAUGUUCUUAGUUAUAUCAGAUUCCUUCCAGAAUCUUCUAAAUAUAUCAGACGGUCAGACACAACCCCAGGCCCUAAUAAAAAACCCUGAUGCUGGC